rnacentral:rRNA from 1 species
AACGAACGCUGGCGGCGUGGAUAAGACAUGCAAGUCGAACGGGACAGACCGAGUAGCAAUAUUUGGAAUGUUCAGUGGCGAACGGGUGCGUAACACGUGGAUAACACUCCGGAAAGCGGGGAAUAGCCCAGGGAAACUUGGAUUAAUACCGCAUGUGGCGGCAAGGCUAAAGACGGGGACCGCAAGGCCUGUCACUUUCCGAUUGGUCCGCGGCCUAUCAGCUAGUUGGCGGGGUAAUGGCCCACCAAGGCUACGACGGGUAGCUGGUCUUAGAGGACGACCAGCCACACUGGAACUGAGACACGGUCCAGACACCUACGGGUGGCAGCAGUCGAGAAUCUUUCACAAUGGGGGCAACCCUGAUGGAGCGACGCCGCGUGGAGGAUAAGGUCUUCGGAUUGUAAACUCCUGUCAUGCGAGAACAAGGUACUCAGGCUAAUAACCUGAUUGUUUGAUGGUACCGCAAGAGGAAGAGACGGCUAACUCUGUGCCAGCCGCCGCAGUAACAC